UACGAAGGGGGCUAGCGUUGCUCGGAAUCACUGGGCGUAAAGCGCACGUAGGCGGGUCUUUAAGUCAGGGGUGAAAUCCCGGAGCUCAACUCCGGAACUGCCUUUGAUACUGGAGAUCUUGAGUCCGGGAGAGGUGAGUGGAACUGCGAGUGUAGAGGUGAAAUUCGUAGAUAUUCGCAAGAACACCAGUGGCGAAGGCGGCUCACUGGCCCGGUACUGACGCUGAGGUGCGAAAGCGUGGGGAGCGAACAGG
rnacentral:rRNA from 1 species